ACUGAACGCUGGCGGCAUGCUUUACACAUGCAAGUCGAACGGUAACAGGGUGCUUGCACCGCUGACGAGUGGCGAACGGGUGAGUAAUGCGUCGGAACGUGCCGAGUAGUGGGGGAUAACGCAGCGAAAGUUGUGCUAAUACCGCAUACGUACUGAGGUAGAAAGUGGGGGACCUUCGGGCCUCACGCUAUUCGAGCGGCCGACGUCUGAUUAGCUAGUAGGUGAGGUAAAGGCUCACCUAGGCGACGAUCAGUAGCGGGUCUGAGAGGAUGAUCCGCCACACUGGGACUGAGACACGGCCCAGACUCCUACGGGAGGCAGCAGUGGGGAAUUUUGGACAAUGGGCGCAAGCCUGAUCCAGCCAUGCCGCGUGUCUGAAGAAGGCCUUCGGGUUGUAAAGGACUUUUGUCCGGGAGCAAAUGCCUGGUGUUAAUAGCACUGGGAGCUGAGAGUACCGGAAGAAUAAGCACCGGCUAACUACGUGCCAGCCGCCGCAGUAACAC
rnacentral:rRNA from 1 species